AGACUGGCAGCGGCGUUGACGGUGCAGUCCGACGAGGUUAGGGAGCUUGCUCCUGAUACCUAGUGGCGAACGAGUGAGUAAUGCUUAUGAAUCUGCCUAGUAGUGGGGGAUAACUAUCCGAAAGGAUAGCUAAUACCGCAUACGACCUACGGGUGAAAGGGGGCUUUUAGCUCUCGCUAUUAGAUGAGCCUAAGUCGGAUUAGCUAGUUGGUGGGGUAAAGGCCUACCAAGGCGACGAUCUGUAGCUGGUCUGAGAGGAUGAUCAGCCACACUGGGACUGAGACACGGCCCAGACUCCUACGGGAGGCAGCAGUGGGGAAUAUUGGACAAUGGGCGAAAGCCUGAUCCAGCCAUGCCGCGUGUGUGAAGAAGGCCUUUUGGUUGUAAAGCACUUUAAGUAGGGAGGAAAAGCUUGUGGUUAAUACCCACAAGCCCUGACGUUACCUACAGAAUAAGCUCCGGCUAACUCUGUGCCAGCAGCCGCGGUAAU
rnacentral:rRNA from 1 species